AAAACUGUCCAACAGUUUCCAUUCCGGAUCCCAAUGGUAAAAACGGUAACACCCUGUUUUUUUAAUUCGAUUGAUAGAGGCACAGGAUCCCCUCCGUUCGAGUAACCAUCGGUUAUCAAAAAUAAAAUCUUUUUGGUAUCAUUGCGGCUGUGUUGAAAUAUAUCCUGUGCAAAUCAAUAAAUGAACAAUAGAAUCUCCCGCACGUUCCCAUAAUUAUGUUUAAACAAUAAACCUGUUUAUACACCAGAGAUUUUGUUGUGGUGUCCGUACCAAGACGUGAAUAUUCUCCAGUAAUUUUAUUUAAUUGGGAGCGGGGCACCCAUAUAAUAGAGGCUCGCCGUUUGGUGCAGGCACUUCAAAUUCAUCAUUCACGAUAUAAGCACAGAAAUAUCGCUCAGAAAUCAAAAUGCCUUGCCAUCCGACCGACAACUCCGCGGACAAAUGCAAAGACGGGUCUUGCUCUCCCAGUAGCUGCAGUGGUUGCAACUGUGCCGCAAAUUGCAAGUGUAAUUGCUGUGCAUCUAAGGGUGAGAAGAAGUGAGGAAUAUGACGGGAAUAUAUAUAUAUAUAUUAAUUAUGUAGUAGUGCUGUCGGUAUUUAAAUAAACGACUUCUAUAACGUUU